UACCUUAGUAAGUAAGUCAAUUAUUCCGAUAUAAAAGAUAAAGUUUCCUGGCUCAUUGUUUUCAUCGGUGGCUUGGAAUCCACCGUCAUCACUGUAGAACAUGAAGUUUCUUCUCCUAAAAUAGUGUUAAAAAAUAGUCUAAUUGUUAAAAAAAUAAUAAGCACUUACUCAACGAACUGGUCGGUCGGCAAUAGAUUACAAGAUUGAUCCAACGAAACAGGACCGGUGCUAUUAACGACUUGUCUGAUUACAUGAACGUUUGAGUGAGAUUCAUUGCCAUUAAUCGAGGGCACUCGAUGUUGCGACACAUUUGGGUCGUAAACUGACAGAAUGCUAUUACGAAUUUUGUCACGAUUACCACGUGAAAGGUCAUGGAUGCCGACAAGUAAACUGUAAUCCAUAAUUCCUAAAGAGGACAGCAUAUCAAUAUCGGCUUUGACCUGAGUUAAGAAUAUCUGACGCUUUAAAGGACCAAACUGAAGAUGCAUAUUUCUGCGAAUCCAAUUUGUAUCUUUCAUUGUACACAUGGGACUUUGACAAGGUUGAUUUUCGUCGAGUUCCCUUCCUAGGGUGGAUCCUUUGAGAUCAAAAGUUUGGUGGAUAUCACGAUGAGGUGGGAAAAGGUUGUUCAUUACAACAAAAUGGAUUUUUCGGCCAAAGGGUAAUUUUACCCUAUGCAACCCAUAAAAUUGCGAAAUCAAUGUGUUCGGAUUAUUCUUGACGUGUUCGUAGUAAUCAUAAAGAAUUUCACGCAAAAAUUUGUGCUCAGAGUGAUGGAUUGUUUUAAUAAUGAAUCGAUAGUCACGAGAAAAAUAAAAAAAAGAACCACUUUUCCCAGGAGAAUCUAACUCAGACAAAAUGUACUUACUGGUAAGAGAUACAAGAUAAUCUGCAGCAUCUAAAUGAAACAGCUGCCUUAGAUGUCUAAAUACCCAAGGUGCAUAAUCUUUGAACUUAAAAUCAUACUUGGCGGAGGGAGUGAGUUCGUUGCCAGUAAUGUCAAAGGUAAACUUGUGACGAGCAGUAAAAUCAGCAGGAGUAAGCUCACGGUCCAUUUUCGCUUGGCAACGAGAAACACCGACGCGAAUUCCAGUAAGCAUGUUGUACGCUGUAACAUAGUUUUCAUGGCCCUCUGAAACUCUAGUUCCAACGAGAACGCACUCAUCGUCCAGUUCUUCCCUGCGACGGCGCAUGUUAACACGUUUUUGUUUGACUGCUUCAGCCCAGCUAGCAGAGCCAAUAUCGGGGGGAAUGCCAUCCAAAAGAGAACCCGAGGUACUGACGUUGGUACCUCGGUCGCCGGAUCUCGAGCCAGAAGGUUCAGCGUUGCUAGAAUUUUUUUCGGAGUAAGAUCGCUUUAGCGGCCGCUUCGCCUUCUGCGAGGAGCUGAGCGUGGAACGAUCAUUAGGUGGCUGCUGAGAUGAGGUUACAGGGUUGGAGGAAGAGCGAUCUAUGGGGGCGCGAGAAGGUUGAGGAGAGGAUAAUUGAUGCUUUAAAUUUUGUAAUUGGGGAGAAGAGGAAGAAUUGGAGGAAGGAGGCUCGAGGGCACUUACGAUGGGAGAAUCUCUCAAGAUACCAUCAGGUACGCCAGUAGCCGUAAUUACCGAAUCGUUAGAAGAGGAAGAAGGAGAGUGGGCAGUGGGAUUUGAGGGGAAAUCUUGAUUUUCCUUAAAUAAUGAAUCGUUAGGUUCAUAAAUAUGGGUCUCCGACCGAACUUCGAUUUUGGGGUUGGUAUGAAGAACAUCGUGGCGCAUCGUACGUUCGAAAUCGUUUUUAUGGGAUAUCAAAUCCUUUUUUUGAAACGUACCAUUUGGAGCAAAAGCAUUCCCAUUCAAAUCGACAGCCUGCUUUUCAUCAUACGAAGGGAUUUCGUUCGUUAUAGAAUGCGGAUUCACUAUGCCGUUUGAAUCAAUUUUCAUUAGUGUUUCCUACAAACAUAUAUGAAGAGUUAAAAAUUUACUCGCCAAUGGACUCCAAACACAAUUUUUGAUUCCGUUUUUUAACAAAC